UUAGAGUUUGAUCCUGGCUCAGGACGAACGCUGGCGGCGUGCCUAACACAUGCAAGUCGAGCGAAUGAAAUUCCUUCGGGAACGGAUUUAGCGGCGGACGGGUGAGUAACACGUGGGCAACCUGCCUCAUAGAGGGGAAUAGCCUUCCGAAAGGGAGAUUAAUACCGCAUAAGAUUGUAGUACCGCAUGGUACAGCAAUUAAAGGAGCAAUCCGCUAUGAGAUGGGCCCGCGGCGCAUUAGCUAGUUGGUGAGGUAACGGCUCACCAAGGCGACGAUGCGUAGCCGACCUGAGAGGGUGAUCGGCCACAUUGGGACUGAGACACGGCCCAGACUCCUACGGGAGGCAGCAGUGGGGAAUAUUGCACAAUGGGGGAAACCCUGAUGCAGCAACGCCGCGUGAGUGAUGACGGCCUUCGGGUUGUAAAGCUCUGUCUUCAGGGACGAUAAUGACGGUACCUGAGGAGGAAGCCACGGCUAACUACGUGCCAGCAGCCGCGGUAAUACGUAGGUGGCGAGCGUUGUCCGGAUUUACUGGGCGUAAAGGGAGCGUAGGCGGAUUUUUAAGUGAGAUGUGAAAUACUCGGGCUUAACCUGAGUGCUGCAUUUCAAACUGGAAGUCUAGAGUGCAGGAGAGGAGAAGGGAAUUCCUAGUGUAGCGGUGAAAUGCGUAGAGAUUAGGAAGAACACCAGUGGCGAAGGCGCUUCUCUGGACUGUAACUGACGCUGAGGCUCAAAAGCGUGGGGAGCAAAACAGGAUUAGAUACCCUGGUAGUCCACGCCCGAAACGAUGAAUAACUAGGGGGAAGGGGUUUGUCCUGAACCUCCGGGGCCCCCCCCCCAAACGCAAUUAAAAU
rnacentral:rRNA from 1 species